rnacentral:rRNA from 1 species
UACGUAGGGUGCAAGCGUUAAUCGGAAUUACUGGGCGUAAAGCGUGCGCAGGCGGCCAUGCAAGACAGAUGUGAAAUCCCCGGGCUCAACCUGGGAACUGCAUUUGUGACUGCAUGGCUAGAGUACGGCAGAGGGGGAUGGAAUUCCGCGUGUAGCAGUGAAAUGCGUAGAUAUGCGGAGGAACACCGAUGGCGAAGGCAAUCCCCUGGGCCUGUACUGACGCUCAUGCACGAAAGCGUGGGAGCAAACAGG